rnacentral:rRNA from 1 species
UACAGAGGGGGCAAGCGUUGUUCGGAAUUACUGGGCGUAAAGGGCUCGUAGGCGGCCAACUAAGUCAGACGUGAAAUCCCUCGGCUUAACCGGGGAACUGCGUCUGAUACUGGAUGGCUUGAGUUUGGGAGAGGGAUGCGGAAUUCCAGGUGUAGCGGUGAAAUUCGUAGAUAUCGAGAGGAACACCGGUGGCGAAGGCGGCCUUCUGGACAGUGACUGACGCUGAGACGCGAAAGCGUGGGGAGCAAACAGG